CGGACUCCGUCCACGAUUUCUGCAGCAAGGAAGACUCCGCCCGGACUCCUAUGGGAGCCAGACUCCGUCCAUGAUUUCUACAGCAAGGAAGACUCCGCCUGGACUCCUACGGGAGCCGGGCUCCGUCCAUGACUUCUACAGCAAGGAAGACUCCACCCGGACUCCUACGGGAGCCGGGCUCCGUCCACGACUUCUACAGCAAGGAAGACUCCGCCCGGACUCCUACGGGAGCCGGGCUCCAUCCAUGACUUCUACAGCAAGGA
rnacentral:lncRNA from 1 species